rnacentral:rRNA from 1 species
AUUGAACGCUGGCGGCAGGCCUAACACAUGCAAGUCGAACGGUAGCACAGAGAGCUUGCUCUCGGGUGACGAGUGGCGGACGGGUGAGUAACGUCUGGGAAACUGCCCGAUGGAGGGGGAUAACUACUGGAAACGGUAGCUAAUACCGCAUAACGUCGCAAGACCAAAGUGGGGGACCUUCGGGCCUCACACCAUCGGAUGUGCCCAGAUGGGAUUAGCUAGUAGGUGGGGUAAUGGCUCACCUAGGCGACGAUCCCUAGCUGGUAUGAGUGGAUGACCAGCCACACUGGAACUAGGACACGGUCCAGACUCCUACGGGAGGCAGCAGUGGGGAAUAUUGCACAAUGGGCGCAAGCCUGAUGCAGCCAUGCCGCGUGUAUGAAGAAGGCCUUCGGGUUGUAAAGUACUUUCAGCGGGGAGGAAGGCGGUGGAGUUAAUAACUUCACCGAUUGACGUUACCCGCAGAAGAAGCACCGGCUAACUCCGUGCCAGCAGCCGCCGUAACAC